rnacentral:lncRNA from 1 species
CUCCAUUAGACUGUAUAUCUUCACAGUACUUGUCAACUACAUCCAUCCAGACUCAGCAAAUGCCUUCCCUCAUCCCAUCGAGAUUGCUCAAAAGUUUUCCAGCCACAGAAUUUCCAGAAUCCCAGUAGUUGCCAAUGCUAUAAGCUUCAACUUUCUUGAAACACUAGCUAACAGUCCUGAUGCUAAUUUCUGCCGGGAACCAAAGUUUCAGGUCGGAUGAUCAGAGGAUUUCAAAACAUCUGAGUUGUUUAAUCGAAGAGAACACAGCUCUCACUUUCUGUCAUAUUUUAGCCUACAACAGACAUUCCUUCAGUGUUUGUAGACCAUGCAAGUUACCUGAAAUU